GACAGAGGGUGCAAACGUUGUCCGGAUUUAUUGGGCGUAAAGAGCUCGUAGGCGGCUUGGCAAGUCGGGUGUGAAACCUCCAGGCUCAACCUGGAGACGCCACUCGAUACUGCCAUGGCUAGAGUCCGGUAGGGGACCACGGAAUUCCUAGUGUAGCGGUGAAAUGCGCAGAUAUCAGGAGGAACACCGGUGGCGAAGGCGGUGGUCUGGGCCGGCACUGACGCUGAGGAGCGAAAGCGUGGGUAGCAAACAGG
rnacentral:rRNA from 1 species